GCCCUUGGCGGAUCCGCGGCCGCUGCAGAGUUUGAUCCUGGCUCAGAACGAACGCUGGCGGCGCGUUUUAAGCAUGCAAGUCAAAGGGGCUAUUUAUAGCGAUAUAGAUAGCAACUGGCGCACGGGUGAGUAAUAUGUGAGAAUCUACCCUAAGGACUGGGAUAGUAUGCAGAAAUGCAUAGUAAUACCGGAUAUGCCGAGAGGUGAAAAGGUCAACUGAUCUGCCUUAGGAUGAGCUUGCAUCCCAUUAGCUAGUUGGUAGGGUAAGAGCCUACCAAGGCGACGAUGGGUAGCCGGCCUGAGAGGGUGAACGGCCACAUUGGAACUGAGACACGGUCCAGACUCCUACGGGAGGCAGCAGCUAAGAAUCUUCCGCAAUGGGAGGAAUCCUGACGGAGCGACGCCGCGUGAACGAUGAAGGCAGAAAUGUUGUAAAGUUCUUUUGUAUGGGAAGAAUAAGGGGAGGAGUGGAAAGCCUCUCUGAUGACGGUACCAUACGAAUAAGCCACGGCUAACUACGUGCCAGCAGCCGCGGUAAUACGUAGGUGGCAAGCGUUGUUCGGAAUCAUUGGGCGUAAAGGGCAUGUAGGUGGUUUUACAAGUGUGAGUUGAAAUACCGCAGGUUAACUUCGAGUAUGGCUUGCAAAAUGUAGACUUGAGUGUAGAGGGGAG
rnacentral:rRNA from 1 species